rnacentral:rRNA from 1 species
CCUACGGGAGGCUGCAGUGAGGAAUAUUGGUCAAUGGACGAAAGUCUGAACCAGCCAAGUCGCGUGAAGGAUGAAGGUUCUAUGGAUUGUAAACUUCUUUUAUAAGGGAAUAAAAUGUUGGACGUGUCGGAUUUUGUAUGUACCUUAUGAAUAAGGAUCGGCUAACUCCGUGCCAGCAGCCGCGGUAAUACGGAGGAUCCGAGCGUUAUCCGGAUUUAUUGGGUUUAAAGGGUGCGUAGGCGGCCUUUUAAGUCAGCUGUGAAAGUUUGUGGCUCAACCAUAGAAUUGCCGUUGAAACUGGGGGGCUUGAGUAUGGUAGAGGCAGGCGGAAUGCGUGGUGUAGCGGUGAAAUGCUUAGAUAUCACGCAGAACCCCGAUUGCGAAGGCAGCCUAC